rnacentral:piRNA from 1 species
UCACCAGGUGGUGUGGUUGGCAGUUGGA